rnacentral:tRNA from 1 species
UCCUUGGUGGUCCAGUGGUAAGGACUCUGUGCUUUCACUGUGGAGGGCCUGGGUUCAGUCCCUGGUUGGGGAA